GGGCGUGAGGUGUAGGGUCUAAGGUUUCAACUCUAGAUUUUAUGAGAAGAAAAAUACAAAAGUGAGUCUUGUUCAAUCUCCCACACCACCACUUCCUUGUAAAACUUCAUCUUCUGAUCUGAAAGAAUCUAGGAGAUCUGAAGAAAGGAGCUUAGAUCAGCCAUCUAGAGCCUUCGAUGUGAGCUAGCACUCCUAUGAAGGAAGAUCCGAUCAGGGC
rnacentral:lncRNA from 1 species